rnacentral:rRNA from 1 species
AUUGAACGCUGGCGGCAGGCUUAACACAUGCAAGUCGAGCGAGGCGCAGACGGGUGAGUAAUGUCUGGGACACCGCCUGAUGGGGGGGGAAAACUUGUGGAAACGGUAGCUAAUAGCGCAUACCAGCAGAAGUGCCCAGAUGGGAUUAGCGAGGAGGUGGGGUAAUGGCUCACCUAGACGACGAUCCCUAUCUGGUCUGAGAGGAUGACCAGCCACACUGGAACUGAGACACGGCCCAGACUCCUACGGGAGGCAGCAGUGGGGAAUAUUGCACAAUGGGCGCAAGCCUGAUGCAGCCAUGCCGCGUGUGUGAAGAAGGCCUUCGGGUUGUAAAGCACUUUCAGCGGGGAGGCGUUACUCGCAGAAGAAGCACCGGCUAACUCCGUGCCAGCAGCCGCGGUAAUUC